rnacentral:rRNA from 1 species
UACGUAGGUGGCAAGCGUUGUCCGGAGUUAUUGGGCGUAAAGCGCGCGCAGGCGGUGCGGUAAGUCUCUGGUGAAAGCGCUCGGCUUAACUGGGCGAGGCCGGGGAGACUGCCACGCUGGAGGGGAGCAGAGGCGAGUGGAAUUCCGGGUGUAGUGGUGAAAUGCGUAGAGAUCCGGAGGAACACCAGUGGCGAAGGCGGCUCGCUGGGCUCUACCUGACGCUGAGGCGGCGAAAGCGUGGGGAGCGAACCGG